CCUACGGGAGGCAGCAGUGGGGAAUAUUGCGCAAUGGGCGAAAGCCUGACGCAGCAACGCCGCGUGGGGGAUGAAGGCCUUCGGGUUGUAAACCUCUUUCAGCAGGGAAGAAGCGAAAGUGACGGCACCUGCAGAAGAAGCACCGGCUAACCACGUGCCAGCAGCCGCGGUAAUACGUAGGGUGCAAGCGUUGUCCGGAUUUAUUGGGCGUAAAGAGCUCGUAGGCGGUUAGUCACGUCGGAUGUGAAAUCCCGGAGCUUAACUCCGGGCCUGCAUUCGAUACGGGCUGACUCGAGUGUUGUAGGGGAGACUGGAACUCCUGGUGUAGCGGUGAAAUGCGCAGAUAUCAGGAAGAACACCGGUGGCGAAGGCGGGUCUCUGGGCAACUACUGACGCUGAGGAGCGAAAGCGUGGGGAGCAAACAGGAUUAGAUACCCUGGUAGUCCACGCCGUAAACGGUGGGCGCUAGGUGUGGGGAACAUUCCACGUUCUCUGCGCCGCNGCUACGACAUAGCGCCCGCCGUACGGAGACGGCCGCGACGACGUAAACUUAACUAGAAGUAGACGGCGUGAGACGUCGCCGAACGGACGACGACGAGGGAGGAGG
rnacentral:rRNA from 1 species